GACGAACGCUGGCGGCGUGCUUAACACAUGCAAGUCGAACGGAAAGGCCCUGCUUUUGUGGGGUGCUCGAGUGGCGAACGGGUGAGUAACACGUGAGUAACCUGCCCUUGACUUUGGGAUAACUUCAGGAAACUGGGGCUAAUACCGGAUAGGAGCUCCUGCUGCAUGGUGGGGGUUGGAAAGUUUCGGCGGUUGGGGAUGGACUCGCGGCUUAUCAGCUUGUUGGUGGGGUAGUGGCUUACCAAGGCUUUGACGGGUAGCCGGCCUGAGAGGGUGACCGGCCACAUUGGGACUGAGAUACGGCCCAGACUCCUACGGGAGUCAGCAGUGGGGAAUAUUGCACAAUGGGCGGAAGCCUGAUGCAACAACGCCGCGUGCGGGAUGACGGCCUUCGGGUUGUAAACCGCUUUCGCCUGUGACGAAGCGUGAGUGACGGUAAUGGGUAAAGAAGCACCGGCUAACUACGUG
rnacentral:rRNA from 1 species